rnacentral:rRNA from 1 species
ACCAGACUCCUACGGGAGGCAGCAGUAGGGAAUCUUUCACAAUGGGCGAAAGCCUGAUGGAGCAACGCCGCGUGAAGGAAGAAGGCUUUCGGGUUGUAAACUUCUUUUCUGGGGGACGAAGAAAGUGACGGUACCCCAGGAAUAAGCCACGGCUAACUACGUGCCAGCAGCCGCGGUAAUACGUAGGUGGCAAGCGUUAUCCGGAUUUAUUGGGUGUAAAGGGCGUGUAGGCGGGAAUGCAAGUCAGAUGUGAAAACUAUGGGCUCAACCCAUAGCCUGCAUUUGAAACUGUAUUUCUUGAGUGCUGGAGAGGCAAUCGGAAUUCCGUGUGUAGCGGUGAAAUGCGUAGAUAUACGGAGGAACACCAGUGGCGAAGGCGGAUUGCUGGACAGUAACUGACGCUGAGGCGCGAAAGCGUGGGGAGCAAACAGGAUUAGAUACCCGGGUAC